rnacentral:sRNA from 1 species
CAGAGGAAUCAGCAUCGGUUAACUCCGUGCCAGCAGCCGCGGUAAGACGGAGGAGGCAAGCGUUAUCCGGAAUUAUUGGGCGUAAAGCGUCCGCAGGCGGUUUUUUAAGUCUGUUGUCAAAGCCCACAGCUCAACUGUGGAUCGGCAAUGGAAACUGGGAGACUAGAGUGUGGUAGGGGUAGAGGGAAUUCCCGGUGUAGCGGUGAAAUGCGUAGAUAUCGGGAAGAACACCAGUGGCGAAGGCGCUCUACUGGGCCACAACUGACGCUGAGGGACGAAAGCGUAGGGGAGCGAAAGGGAUUAGACUACCCCUGUAGUCCUAGCUGUAAACGAUGGAUACUAGGUGUUGGACGUAUCGACCCGUGCAGUACCGUAGCUAACGCGUUAAGUACUCCCGCCGUGGGGAGUACGCACGCAAGUGUAGAAACUACAAAGGAAUUGGACGGGGGCCCGCACAAGCGGUGGAGGAUGUGGUUUAAUUCGAUGCAACGCGAAGAACCUUACCAAGGGUCGACGCGGCC